ACGACCCUGAGAUCACGACCUGAGCUGAGGUCAAGAGUUGGACACACAACCGACGGAGCCACCCAGGCGCUCCAUGUGUGGAUGCAGUUCAGUCCUCACGUAAUCUCUCCACCCAGCAUGGGGCUUGAACCCACAACUCCGAGAUCUCAAGAGUUGCACAUUCCACCGACUGAGCCAGCCAGGCGCCCCUAAAUAAAUGUUUGAUGUUGUUAUAUGUAUAUGAAGGUACAUAAGUAAAAUUGUUUUAUUAUUAAAAGAA